UUUAUGGGCGUGUGGACUCCACCCACCCUCAUCGUAUCUGAAAUUUUGAAGACAACAUACAUAAGGAUGCAGUAGAUUGUGAUGUUUUCGUUUACAUGGUAAGAUAUGACCUUAAAUUAUUGCACUAAUUUUUCUUAAAACAAUGCAGGUAGCAAAUAUUUCAUUGAAAAAAGAAAAUGAAUUAUUGUCAAGAUGAUAUGGAGAAUGCAAGAAUUGAAAUUCUGGGAAUUAUUUUGAAUUCAUCUGGCCAAGCAUCAAUACCUUUCAGUAAUGAA